GAGCCUAUCAAAAUAAGAACACCUAUUUUUGAUCAUAAAAGACAUUUAGGUUAAAGCAAAAGCAGAGACAGAGGGCAGUGACAUCAAAAAUUAACAAGUAUGGAACACAAAGAGAGGGUUUACAGCUACCAAACAUGCUACCAUAGGAAAAUGGUUAGAAAACAUUCACAUACACUCAAAGAAGAAAGGACUGCAAAAAGGAAAAGAGAGGAAGAGAGGAGAGAAAGAGAUCAAAGCAUACUUAAUCAGAUCAAAGUGUUCUUAAGCACACGGACAUAAAAGGAAAACAGUUUAAUGAGCUGAUGCAUAUAAUAUUUACCCAGGUGUGUCUCUAUACAAGUCUAAAAAUACACACACACACACAUUUUUGUGUGUGUGCGUGUCCCCUUCACACCAACAUAGUUUAAAUAAACAAUUAAUGCAUACACUCCAAAUCUUUAAUUUUAUCCAUAUCACAAUUUAUCCUAUCCAUAUGUACUAUCCCUUAAAUAAUUCACCCAGUAUUAAAUGCAACUAUUAACAUCAACAUCAUCAUUAACAUAAUGACCUGUUACUGUCAGCAACAUUACAAUUUAUAUAUUCACCAUUUUAAUUCCUGCUUCAGCAAGUACAAUGUGAGAUGUGCUUUGCCGAAGAGAUCAGAA